rnacentral:rRNA from 1 species
CAAGGAAUUUUCGGCAAUGGGCGCAAGCCUGACCGAGCAACGCCGCGUGCAGGAUGACGGCCUUCGGGUUGUAAACUGCUUUUGCUGAGGACGGCAUCGACGGUACUCGGCGAAUCAGCCCCGGCUAACUCUGUGCCAGCAGCCGCGGUAAGACAGAGGGGGCAAGCGUUGUCCGGAUUGACUGGGCGUAAAGGGUCCGCAGGUGGUGCGUCACGUGGGCCUGUGAAAGCGCGCGGCUUAACCGCGCGAGGCCAGACCAUACGGACGCGCUGGAGCCGCAGCGAGGGACGUGGAAUUGCCGGUGUAGUGGUGAAAUGCGUAGAGAUCGGCAGGAACACCAAGGGGAAGCCAGCGUCCUGGCUGCGUGCUGACACCCAGGGACGACCGCGUGGGGAGCGAACCGGAUUAGAUACCCGGGUAGUCCACGCCGUAAACGAUGGAUGCUCGGCAUUUGGCCGCCACUCGGUGGCUGGGUG